CAAGUGAGAGCAGGAAGUAUUUGCAAAUGAUUAUUUGAAUAAGUGUGUCUGAAUCACUUGGAUAACAUUUGCAACAUUUUUUGUUAAACAAAUACAGAAAACCACAACAGUACAAGCAUUUUUAAUCCUCAGAAGAUUUAAGAAAAGAUUUGUUUGUGGAAACCUGUGCCAUUAAGAACUUAGUCCAGAUGUUUGUGUGUCCAUCUUCGAACCUUUCAAGGGUCCUUCCUUUACUUGUAAAAAUUGCAGUUGUCCAGUAUAGGAAAAAUGCUAUUUAGCUAAGACAAAUGAGGAGUAAGUUUAACAGUAUACCUGUACCGUGGUAUCAGGAAAUAGUAGCUGCCUUCUUAGAAGUACCUUAACCUCCUUUGGUGCUGAAGAAGCUUCUCUAGACUAUGUCAUGCUGCAUCCUGUCAGCAUACCAUGGAGAAAUGCUACAAACGUAUUCGUUCACCAGCUGGAAACACUGCGUAUGCUGUGCAUUGAACUCAUGCUCCAGUAAGAGAUUAUUUCAGUCAAGGUAAGAA